rnacentral:rRNA from 1 species
CCUACGGGUGGCUGCAGUGGGGAAUAUUGCACAAUGGGGGAAACCCUGAUGCAGCGACGCCGCGUGAGUGAAGAAGUAUUUCGGUACGUAAAGCUCUAUCAGCAGGGAAGAAAAUGACGGUACCUGACUAAGAAGCCCCGGCUAACUACGUGCCAGCAGCCGCGGUAAUACGUAGGGGGCAAGCGUUAUCCGGAUUUACUGGGUGUAAAGGGAGCGUAGACGGCAGCGCAAGUCUGGAGUGAAAUCCGGAGGCUCAACCUCCGAAUUGCAUUUGAAACUGUUUUUCUUGAGUACUGGAGAGGCAGACGGAAUUCCUUGUGUAGCGGUGAAAUGCGUAGAUAUAAGGAGGAACACCAGUGGCGAAGGCGGUCUGCUGGACAGCAACUGACGGUGAGGCGCGAAAGCGUGGGGAGCAAACAGGAUUAGAUACCCGAGUAGUC